rnacentral:sRNA from 1 species
UGAAUUACAUUUACUAGCCAGUGAAGC